GGGCGCGACCUGGCUUCGACGGGGGUCGCCAAAAGUGUGGUAGCGUGCCGAGGUGGUCGGUGGCCUCGUAAAACACCGGCAAAGCCAUAACUGGCAACACUCAGCGUUCUUACGCUCUCGCUGCUUAAGUCCAGCGACGUUCCUAGCAAGCCUUGCCGUUGGCUCGGCUAGCGAACGACCUAAAACCGGCUAGCCCGCGCGAGGCUCCGUAAGCGUCGGGCGAACCUUUACGGGGCUUGGCUUAGAGCCCCUGCUGAUGGGGAAACUCUAGGCGACAGCUAAACAUCAGCUACGCACGUAGAGGCCCACUGGAGGGACUUUCGGACGGGAGUUCGAUUCUCCCCGCGUCCACCA
rnacentral:tmRNA from 2 species